rnacentral:piRNA from 1 species
UUAUUGGAACUUUAUGUCCCC